rnacentral:lncRNA from 1 species
UGUGGGGGCCGGAGAGCGGGGAUGGAGGAAGCCGGCCGACACCUCUCGGCGGCGUCCUUGGCCUCCAGACUAAGCGCCGCCAAGUCUCUGCCCCGCCUGCUGCCCACCCAGCCCGCCCUUCACCAGCCUGGACCCCGGACAGCAACCUCGUGAGCUCGAAGAUGCUCCUUAGACCCCGGGAAAAGCCAAAACAGCACCUCGCUGCUCUCUCGGGACGCCCGGUGGGUGUGGCCGCGCUCUCCCCCGGGGCUCUGCCUCCCCUGCGCAGUAGCCCAGGGGACGGCGACACAGAGGAGCCCCAAGGAUGGGCUGCUGAGCCCGCUCAGCUUCAAGACCACACCCCUCCCCCAGCCACGUGGCCAACCCGGGGUGACUGCCUCCGACAUUCGGGAGCUGCACCUGGGGACUUGAGCGCGAACCUUCGUUUUCUAAUUUUUUUUUUUUUUAAGAGCGCGUUUGAGUGCCCGCCUGCUGUGUGUCUGCGCACUGCGUGGGUGCGGUGGCCCGCAGAGGCCGGAAGAGGGCGUCGGAUCUCCCAGGACUGGAGCUGUGAGCUGCCAAGGGCGUGCUGCGGGUGCCACCCAGGUCCUCUGAGAGAGGGCCGACCUCUGCAGAAAAGACAAAACUGACACAGGAACCUCCUCUUGAGCAGGGGUCCUGUCUCAGUGACGGGAAACUUCCCCUUAACCAGCCUCCCAGGGGAGCCACAAGCUGCUCACAUGAAUUCGGUCAACAGCGCCAUGUGGAUAGCAACCGUCCUGCUCACUGAUGCCAGCUGGUUUUGCAUCUAGUGGGCAAGAACUGCACCCUGUGUGGAGGAGGGCGCACGGAGGUGAGAAGGCACCGUACCAGCCCGUGACAGCUCCGGGCUCACAGGCAGGGACAUCCACACUUGAGUAACCCCCAGUUAGUUCUGUGGCACGUGUCUACAAAGAAGAGUGAAGAAGGGCUCUCCCAGAAGGUGGGAAGCUGUGAGCUCACAAAGCAUGCAGACCUGGAACGGCUUAGGAACUGAGUGAACAGCUAGGGGCAGUGUGGGCCAAUCUGCAGGGUUGUGUGGACUUGUCACAUGUUCCGAGAGGAGACUCUUCCAGGAGGAAGAAAAGCCCGGGAGGCUGCCAGGCCAUGUUGUAACACACCACAGCAAACAACAACAGGCGCUGUAGAUACAGCAGCUGCCGGCUUUUUUUUUUUUUUUUUUUUCUUCUGGGCCAGAGUAUGUGGGGGAACAGUCAGUUCUACAGUUCCGAAGACAGCCUGGCUAGCCCCACCCACUCCCCCAGAAAAACCACUCUGGCCACCAGACUUACCCUCCUCGGCAUUUUCCCUAAGCACUGAUGUCCUCGUUGUGGCUGGAGAAGUCCUGACCUGAAGCAGCGAGCAGUUCUUUGCCACGCUUAUCACUAAGGCUGGCUUCUCGGGUAUGGCACCUUUUUAGUGACACACUAAGAAAGUCUCCGGUGCUCCGUUUAGAGUACAAUUGUGGUCAUCUUGACAUAGUAACUUUCAACUAGGGGCCCUGUGUGUUCUUCGAUUUACACAGCCAGCACUAUCAUCCUUCUAUGCCUGCUUUUGGUUUGCAAACCACAUCUUGGUCUUAAAGCAUUUGAUAUCCACAGUUUGUUCACACAACACUUGUAGCAUCUCUCUCUCUCUCUCUCUCUCUCUCUCUCUCUCUCUCUCUCUCUCUCUCUCUCUCUCUCUGAGAGUUGCAGAUUAGGGCCAGUAAAAUGGCUCAGCAGGUAAAGGGUCUUGUGACUAAGUCUAGUGACCUGAACUUGAUCCCUGGGUUUCACACAAUAGAAGAGAAAGAACUCCUGCAAGCUGGCCUCUGACCUAUAUAAACUCACCCUGUGGCACACUCAUUACCUCCCCCACCUCAGACACACAAAGAAAUAAAUGUAAUUUGAGAGACAGAGAGAGAGGACACGCUGCAGAUCGAGCCUUCUCCAGGUGGCCUGGUGAAGAAGUGGGCAGAGGCUGCAUUCCAGCCCUGCUCACUGAAGCCCUUGUCCUCCCCAGCUCAGUGUGAGGACCCUGGAGGAGGUCCUUCUUGGGGAGGUAGAGCAGACAGUGAAGUGGGUCUCUGCCGUUGCAUGGCCACCCUUUAGAAUGGUUUGUCAUCUGCAUUGAACAGGUCUCUAGAUCGCUCUGCUUCUGGGACUCCAAUCAAAACACAGGGUUGAUCUCACUCCAUCCCUUUCUUCUCUGUUUUCCGUCUUUUCUCCUCCUGGGCUUUGAUCUAAGUCCUUCCUGUGUUUCAGCUCACAAAUUCUCUUUCCAUAGUCUAUGAGUAAAAGUCAUUUUUAUUAUAUAUUGCUUCCUAGCAAACUAGCCCAAAAUUUAAAAAAAACACUCCCAUGGACUUCUUCUUAAAGGGAACAAAGAGAAAUGCUUUAAGCUUAAAAACCAUAUUCUUUGUCACACUGACUCAAUUGCCAUUAUAGCCAUUGCUAUAUGUAAAUGAAUCACUUGGCUGUGUUUGAAUAAAACUUAAUAAAAUCUGGCCCCACCAUACACUUAAGGACAUCAAUGGAAACCCAUACCUAACACCACCACAAUGAAAGACUGGUUGCUUGCCCAGUGACCAAGUACAGGAUAAGGAUGUACACCCUGGUCACUUCUAACUUUUAUUUUGUGUUUGAUUUUUUGAAACAGGUGUUCAUGCAAUCCAGCCUGGCCUCAAACUUGCUGUGUAGCUGAAGAUGUCCUUAAAUUCCUAAUCCUCAGCCAGGUGGUAGUGGUGCUCACGCCUUUAGUCCCAGCACUCGGGAGGCAGAAGCAGUUGGAUCUCUGCGAGUUUGAGACCAGCCUGGUCUACAAGAACUAGUUCCAGGACAGCCUCCAAAGCUACACAGAGAAACCCUGUCUUGAAAAACAAAAAACAAAAACUUUCUAACCCUCUAGUCUCCAUCUCCCAGGGGCACAUCAUCAUGCCUGGCUGGCCCUGGGAGUUUAGUAUCCGACUGUGUUCUAGUCAGGACAGUUAAGCAAGAAACACAUAGAGUGAGGUAUAGAUUGAAAAAGUAAACUUGGGCUGCUGUCCCCAUCUGCAAGCUUUGGGACCGACCUGACUGGGGUGAAAAGAAAGAAAAGGCUGGGGGUCAGGGGGGCCUCGUGUUCGGAUGAAGAUGCAACAGCAGCCCAAAACUCCUGUUUAUAUACAGCUCAUUGAGGAGGUGGGCUCAUUAUGUACAGCUGGUCUACUGUAUGCAGGCUGUCUCAGUAGGGCUCUCCACAGAGGAGCCAUCUCAGGCUGCAAUCAGUGGGAGAAGAAGGCUGUGUGGUUGACACUUUCUGCACAACUGUCAACACCUGGGCUUUAGCCAGGGGAAGACUGCCAUUCCCAUGGGUCCAAGGCCCUGGUGUCCUUUAUAUGGAUAUGCUCAUGUCAUUAGCACACAUUCACUCAGGACUUCACCCACUCCCCACAGGCUGUGGUGGUAUGGUGUGGCUCAUUUGGCAGAGUGCCAGUCUACCAUGCACAGAGCCCCGAGUUUGACCCACAGCACUGAAUAAAUAGGAUAGAGGCACUCGUCUGCAAUCCCGAAACUUGAGGAGUGGAGUCAGGGGGAUCAGAAGUUCGAGGUCAUCCUUGGCUAUUCAGUAAGUACACUGAACUCAAGGCCUUGUCCGUGCUAGACCUCUCCCACCUAGCCAGAUCCCAGAACAGCACACUUCUGAAUGCACUCAACAAGAGAAGUCUAAAACUUACACGGUGAACAUUGGCAUCAUUGAAAGAAACUGAAGACCUAACAGUCCUGGGUUCAACCCCCAGUAAUACACACACAAUAAACAAAUAAAUAAAAUAUCCUUUGAGUGUUACUGAGGUGACCAUGGAGAUGACUAAUUAACUCUUUAGGAAUUGGGCCUCCAAUUAACAAGGCACCAGUUCUAGUUCCUCCAGUUUGGUUAAAGGAGACAGGGUCUAAGGGAAAAGGGAGUAAGUGUGCCAAGGACUCAGACAUGAGUCUCAUCAGAGGCACCCAGUAACCUAGUACAGUUCAACCUGUCUCUUCACAAUGCCAUGGCUCAUUGUCCCAAGGCCCAAUAUUCCUGAGUCCCAAAGUCUCCACAAGUAAAGUCUCCACAAGUAAAGUCCCAAAGUCUCCACAGGCCCAGAUCACAAAGGGCUUUGUCACGUGACGUUUCUCAUCCUCUGCAGAUGUUUAGACUGCAGAAGCAAGUCAUCCAGGGAAAUCCAAGUCACCUCCAGUGUGGGGGUGGCAUGGUAACCAGCUAUGUUUCUUUGGCUGUGACAAG